UUGGCAUUUUGCCUUUCUUGAUGCUGGUAACAAAAUCAACGAAAAGAGGAUAAGAAUUAAUAGUAGCAUGAGAAAAUCCAUGGCUACCCAGGUAAAAAUUAGGAGUACAACAGUGAUAAAAAUUAUUCUGGAUCUGAACACUUUCUCUACCCUUUUAGAGAAUGAUUCUAAGAAAAGACUUUGAUCUGAAGCUGUUUUACUACACAAAGAAAAUAGAAAACAAUUGUUGAAAAAUACCGGGA